rnacentral:rRNA from 1 species
GACGAACGCUGGCGGCGUGCUUAACACAUGCCGGUCGAACGAUGAAGCACCAGCUUGCUGGUGUGGAUUAGUGGCGAACGGGUGAGUAACACGUGAGUAACCUGCCCCUCACUCUGGGAUAAGCCUGGGAAACUGGGUCUAAUACUGGAUACGACCGAUCUCCGCAUGGAGUGUUGGUGGAAAGUUUUUGUGGUGGGGGAUGGACUCGCGGCCUAUCAGCUUGUUGGUGGGGUAAUGGCCUACCAAGGCGACGACGGGUAGCCGGCCUGAGAGGGCGACCGGCCACACUGGGACUGAGACACGGCCCAGACUCCUACGGGAGGCAGCAGUGGGGAAUAUUGCACAAUGGGCGAAAGCCUGAUGCAGCGACGCCGCGUGAGGGAUGACGGCCUUCGGGUUGUAAACCUCUUUCACCAGGGACGAAGCUAACGUGACGGUACCUGGAGAAGAAGCACCGGCUAACUACGUG